GCUAUUGUCAUUCCUCUAGGAUCUUUUAUCAGGAGUCCUACAUUCUUGACUCCUGCCAGAUGGGGGCACUCACUGCCUUCUUAUUCCUCGUGUGCUCAGUGGACGUCCCUGAGAAGCGGGCUGACUCGCCACCAGAGGGCUUUGUCACCGCCCUUCAAACGAUCCUCAGGCACACAGACAGACAGACAGACAGAGGGAGUCCUGGAUGAAUGGCAAACCCUUCAGAUUCUAAUUUGUUUCUCAAUCAGUUGCUUCCUCGUGUGAAAUGAGGGGACAGACAGCUGAUCUUUCUGAGCUGCCCAUGGCUGGGACCACUGCCUCCAUUCCCAACACCCUGCUGGGGACCCCGCCUUCCAAAGAACAUGCCCCAGGCACACAGGUGAGCUCCCGCCAUGCACUCCCCGUGAAAGGGAAGCCGUCUGGAGGCAGUGUGGCACCUGAAGACGCUGGAGCUGCUGCUGUCAGGGACACACGCCCUGCCCAUUCAUCUGCCUUCUGCGCCGGGAGCCCCCGCAGAUGCGGAAGAUGCAGGGAAUGAUUCAGCCCCAGCCUUAAACAUCAAAUAGCAAAUGAAUAGCAUCAUAAGAAGUCAAGAGAAAGACCAUGGAAGAAAGAAGAAACUUUAACAGCGCUUUUUUCAUGAUCUUUGAACAAGGAGCUCUAAAUUAUCAUUUUGCACUGGCUCUGUCCCAGCUCAUGUUUGUUGAGUGAAUAAAUAAAUAAAUAAAUGCAUACAUACAUAUUUAUUAGUACAUGGAACACACUGAUUAUCUUCCAUUUCCUAACAACACUGUAUGUAAUCAGGAUUGCAGGCAUGUUAUGAAAUACUAGAAUAGCUGAAUAUUAAAAUUAUUCUGGAAUCAUGUAUGCUUAUUGUUGGGGUUAUUUGUGACGUCUCCAAAGUCAUCACAGUUUUCUCAGCAUCAAUGUCCUCAUCUCACCCCAGUCCUAGUUCUAGUCUUAGUGGAAUAGAUUGUAUCAGACUAAUCCUCUGACAGACAACAACGAUCAACUGUGGAUGAAAUUUUAAAACAACUAUUUAAAAAUGCCAGAGAGCAAACAAAAGCAGACAAGUUAGAGGGACUUCAACCCACGAAAUCAAUAAACGUACUGACUGAGACUCAUGCACACACACAUGACAGAGGGACAGAAGCUCUAUGAGAGGAGGACCCUUAUCCAUUUUGUUGAUGGCACAUAGUAUAUGUUCAAUAAAUUUUUGUUGUCAAAUGAAUGUUUUGUUUGGCCAACCUCACUUAUUGUUUUUUCAGUUUUACUGAGGGAUGAUUUAUGUAAAAUAAAAUUCACACUUUUUAAUUGUACCAUUUUAUGAGUUUCACAAAUGUAUACAGUUGUAUAUCUGCCACUAUGAUCAAGAUGUAGAGUAUUUCCAUCGCCAUAGAAAGUUCCUUUAUGCCCCUUUGCUGUUUAUCCCUUCCCCAGCCCCAGCACCUGGCAAUCGCUGACCUGAUUUCUAUAGCUUUGCCUUUUCCAGAAAGUUGAAUAAAUGGAAUCACACUAAAUGUA